UACGUAGGUGGCAAGCGUUAUCCGGAUUUAUUGGGCGUAAAGGGAACGCAGGCGGUCUUUUAAGUCUGAUGUGAAAGCCUUCGGCUUAACCGGAGUAGUGCAUUGGAAACUGGGAGACUUGAGUGCAGAAGAGGAGAGUGGAACACCAUGUGUAGCGGUGAAAUGCGUAGAUAUAUGGAAGAACACCAGUGGCGAAAGCGGCUCUCUGGUCUGUAACUGACGCUGAGGUUCGAAAGCGUGGGUAGCAAACAGG
rnacentral:rRNA from 1 species